rnacentral:lncRNA from 1 species
CAUCAAAAUCUAUGCACGAGGAGCAGAGAGAGGGGUAUAGGAGUCAUACCUGCGACGCAUCGACCUCGGACUCCGCCGUCGGGGUGAUCUCGGGCUCCAUCGCUGGGGUGAGACCUGUUUGUCGGUCGGGGGCCUGCUAGGCUCGGCAGGAGCCCGACCUUUUCUUCGCUUCUCCUUCGGGCCCUUGGUCUCAGUCAGACGUCGGUCGGAAGCUCCUUCGUCUGCACGCAUGUAUUUGUACGCA